CCUACGGGGGGCAGCAGUGAGGAAUAUUGGUCAAUGGACGAGAGUCUGAACCAGCCAAGUAGCGUGAAGGAUGACUGCCCUAUGGGUUGUAAACUUCUUUUAUAUGGGAAUAAAAUGUUCCACGUGUGGGAUUUUGUAUGUACCAUAUGAAUAAGGAUCGGCUAACUCCGUGCCAGCAGCCGCGGUAAUACGGGGGAUCCGAGCGUUAUCCGGAUUUAUUGGGUUUAAAGGGAGCGUAGGUGGAUUGUUAAGUCAGUUGUGAAAGUUUGCGGCUCAACCGGAAAAUUGCAGUUGAAACUGGCAGUCUUGAGUACAGUAGAGGUGGGCGGAAUUCGUGGUGUAGCGGUGAAAUGCUUAGAUAUCACGAAGAACUCCGAUUGCGAAGGCAGUUCACUGGACUGCAACUGACACUGAGGCUCGAAAGUGUGGGUAUCAAACAGGAUUAGAUACCCCAGUAGUC
rnacentral:rRNA from 1 species